CGCGGGGUGGAGCAGCACGGUAGCUCGUCGGGCUCAUAACCCGAAGGUCGUAGGUUCGAAUCCUGCCCCCGCAU
rfam:Snodgrassella alvi wkB2, complete genome.